CAGACACAGGUGCUCACACAGGCACUCACAGACACACAGGAGCUCACACAGGCACUCACAGACACACAGGAGCUCACACAGGCACUCACAUACACACAGAGGAGCUCACACAGGCACUCAGACACAAAGGAGCUCACACAGGCACUCACAGACACACAGGAGCUCACAGAGGCACUAACAGACACACACAGGAGCUCACACAGGCACUCACAGACACACAGGAGCUCACACAGGCACUCACAGACACACAGGAGCUCACACAGGCACUCACAGACACACACAGGAGCUCACACAGGCACUCACAGACACACAGGAGCUCACACAGGCACUCACAGACACACAGGAGCUCACACAGGCACUCACAGACACACAGGAGCUGACACAGGCACUCACAGACACACAGGAGCUGACACAGGCACUCACAGACACACAGGAGCUCACACAGGCACUCACAUACACACACAGGAGUUCACACAUGCACUCACAGACACACAGGAGCUCACACAGGCACUCACAGACACACACAGGAGCUCACACAGGCACUCACAGGCACACAGGAGCUCACACAGGCACUCACAGACACACAGGAGCUCAAACAGGCACUCAGAGACACACAGUAGCUCACACAGGCAAUCACAGACACGCACAGGAGCUCACACAGGCACUGACAGACAACAGGAGCUCACACAGGCACUGACAGACACACAGGUGCUCACACAGGCACUCAGAGACACACAGGAGCUCACACAGGCACUCAGAGACACACAGGAGCUCACACAGGCACUCACAGACACACACAGGACCUCACACAGGCACUCGCAGACACACAGGAGCUCAAACAGGCACUCGCAGACACACAGGAGCUCAAACAGGCACUCGCAGACACACAGGAGCUCACACAGGCACUCGCAGACACACAGGUGCUCACACAGGCACUCAGACACACAGGAGCUCACACAGGUACUCAGACACACAGGAGCUCACACAGACACUCACAGACACACAGGUGCUCACACAGGCACUCAGACACACAGGAGCUCACACAGGCACUCACAGACACACAGGAGCUCACACAGGCACUCACAGACACACAGGAGCUCACACAGGCACUCACAGACACACAGGAGCUCACACAGGCACUCACAGACACACGGGAGCUCACACAGGCACUCACAGACACACGGGUGCUCACACAGGCACUCACAGACACACGGGUGCUCACAGAGGCACUCACAGACACAGGAGCUCACAGAGGCACUCACAGAAACAGGAGCUCACAGAGGCACUCACAGACACACAGGAGCUCACAGAGGCACUCACAGACACACAGGAGCUCACACAGGCACUCACAGACACACGGGAGCUCACACAGGCACUCACAGACACACGGGAGCUCACACAGACAGACACACAGGAGCUCACACAGACACUCAGAGACACACAGGAGCUCACACAGGCACUCACAGACACACAGGAGCUCGCACAGGCACUCACAGACACACAGGAGCUCACACAGGCACUCACAGACACACAGGAGCUCACACAGGCACUCACAGACACAGGAGCUCACACAGGCACUCACAGACACACAGGAGUUCUCACAGGCACUCACAGACACACAGGAGCUCACACAGCGACUCACAGACACACACAGGAGCUCACACAGCCACUCACAGACACACAGGAGCUCACACAGGCACUCACAGACACACACAGGAGCUCACAGAGGCACUCACAGACACACCGGAGCUCACACAGGCACUCACAGACACACAGGAGCUCACACAGGCUCUCACAGACACACAGGAGCUCACACAGGCACUCACAGACACAGGAGCUCACACAGGCACUCAGACACAGAGGAGCUCACACAGACAGACACACAGGAGCUCACACAGACACUCAGAGACACACAGGAGCUCACACAGGCACUCACAGACACACAGGAGCUCGCACAGGCACUCAGAGACACCCAGGAGCUCGCACAGGCACUCACAGACACACAGGAGCUCACACAGGCACUCACAGACACACAGGAGCUCACACAGGCACUCACAGACACAGGAGCUCACACAGGCACUCACAGACACACAGGAGUUCUCACAGGCACUCACAGACACACAGGAGCUCACACAGCGGCUCACAGACACACACAGGAGCUCACACAGCCACUCACAGACACACAGGAGCUCACACAGGCACUCACAGACACACACAGGAGCUCACAGAGGCACUCACAGACACACCGGAGCUCACACAGGCACUCACAGACACACAGGAGCUCACACAGGCUCUCACAGACACACAGGAGCUCACACAGGCACUCACAGACACAGGAGCUCACACAGGCACUCAGACACAGAGGAGCUCACACAGGCACUCACAGACACACAGGAGCUCACACAGGCACUCAGAGACACACACAUGAGCUCACACAGGGACUCACAGACACACACAGGAGCUCACACAGGCACUCACAGACACAAAGGAGCUGACACAGGCACUCACGGACACACAGGAGCUGACACAGGCACUCAGAGACACACAGGAGCUGACACAGGCCCUCACAGACACACAGGAGCUGACACAGGCACUCAGACACACAGGAGCUCACACAGGCACUCAGACACACAGGAGGUCACACAGGCACUCAGAGGCACACAGGAGCUCGCACAGGCACUCACAGACACACAGGAGCUCACACAGGCACUCACAGACACACACAGGAGCUCACACAGGCACUCACAGACACACAGGAGCUCACACAGGCACUCACAGACACACAGGAGCUCACACAGGCACUCACAGACACAGGAGCUCACACAGGCACUCAGACACACAGGAGCUCACACAGGCACUCAGAGACACACAGGAGCUCACACAGGCACUCACAGACACACAGGAGCUCACACAGGCACUCACAGACACACAGGAGCUCACACAUGUACUCACAGACACACUCAGGCAUUUACAGAGGUCAUUUGCAGACAGACACACAGGCGCUCACAGACACACAGACACACACAGGUGCUCACACAGGCACUCACAGACAGACCCAGAUACACAAGCCGUCACAGACACAUAGACAGGUGCUUACACAGGCACUCACAGACAGACACACACAGGUGUCUGUUCAGACAGGGACACAUGAGUACACAUAGGUGCACAUGUAGACAAACAGGUGAGCACACAGGCACACACAAGUAUCCCCAGGUGCACAUAACCAAACACAGGUGCAUACACAGGUGCAUACACAGGGACACACAGGUAUACCUGCCGUUGUACAGACACUCGGAUAUGCCCAGAUGCACGUGCAGGUGA
rnacentral:lncRNA from 1 species